AACUUUCGACAACGGAUCACUUGGCUCUCGCAUCGAUGAAGAACGCAGCGAAUUGCGAUAAGUAAUGUGAAUUGCAGAAUGCAGUGAAUCAUCGAAUCUUUGAACGCAUCUUGCGCUCCUUGGUAUUCCGAGGAGCAUGCCUGUUUGAGUGUCAUGAAAAUUCUCAACCCUUAUUCAGCUUUGGCUGGAUCUGGAUUGGAUUGUGGGGGUGUCUGCAGGCUUUCAGAAGCCAGCUCCCCUGAAAUGCAUUAGCGGGACCUUUGUGGAUCUGGCUCCAGGUGUGAUAAUUAUCUUACAUCAUGGCCGUGAAGCAGUCUGCGUUCGGCUCUCUAAAACCUGUCUGUCUUCUUGGAGAUGACUACUUUUUAUGACAUUUUGACCUCAAAUCAGGUAGGACUACCCGCUGAACUUAAGCAUAUCAAUAAGCGGAGGCU
rnacentral:misc_RNA from 1 species